rnacentral:lncRNA from 1 species
GGCAAAAAUAAAUAAAUAAAUAAACCUGCUCGGGGGAAAAAGUAGCUUCUUUAUUUUAAGCUAGCCAUUAGUGAAUUUCAAGACAGACAAGAUCUCAGCCCUCUUUGAAUUUAUGGUAUGGUGGGGAAAACAGGAAAUAAGUAAACACAAAUAAUCAAAAUAAUUUCUGAUUAAGAAAAAUUAUUAGAAGUGAAUAAGCUGGUGGAUCUAAAAGAGUGAAUUGUAGAGGAUGACUAUUUUGGCUAGUAAGAGUCAAGGAGCGUCCCUUUGAAAAGGUGACAUUUGAGCUGAGACUUGAAGCACGAGCUUGUGCUAGCCAUAUGAAAAGCUGGGGAGACAUUCCUGGCCUGGUAACAAGUGCAGAGACCUGAAAGGCACAGACGGGCAUGGGUGUUGGAAUGGAAGGAAGCAAGAAGAAAAUGGAAUGAGAUGGAGUUAGAUUGUGCAGGGCUUCUUGUAUUGAGGUGUCCGAGGGUUGGGGGCUUUUAUUUUAAUGAAAUGAGAAAUGAAGUCCUGCUGUAGUGCAGCCAGUUAAGGAUCCAGCAUUGUCUCUGCAAUAGCACAGAUUCCAUCCUCUGGCCCAGCACAGUGGGUUAAGGAUUGGGUGUUGCUGCAGCUGUGGUGUAGGUUGUAGCUGUAGCUCAGAUUCAAUCCCUGGUCCAGGAACUUCAUAUGCCAUAAGUAUGACCAAAAAUGAAAAAAUGAGAAUCUAUUCUAGGGCUUCAAUUAAGGCAGUGGUAUGUUUUUGUUUUUAAACAUCACUGGCCCCACCGUGGCACAGUGGAAAUGAAUCCAACUAGGAACCAUGAGGGAUUGAACCCGCGUCCUUGUGGAUACUAGUUGGGUUUGUUACUGCUGAGCCACAAUGGGAACUCCUCUCUUUUAUUUAUUUAUUUAUUUAUUUAUUUUGGUUGGGCCCACAGCAUGCAGAAGUUCUGGGGCCAGGGAUUGAACCCAUGCCACAGCAGUGACAACUCUGGAUCCUUAACCAGUUGACCACAAGGGAACUCAGGAUUUGCUCUCUUGACAGGUAGUUUCAGUGGCGUUCAGGGAUGGAAGCCACAUUGGAAUGUAUUGAGGGAAUGGAGUGAAGUGACUGUAAACCACUUGUUAGGAAAGUUUUGCUGUAAAGGACAGAACCGCACAGCAAUGGCUGGAGAGAGAGGUGGGGUCAGGGAAGAGCACUUUUUUUUUUCCUUUUUUUUUUUUUUUGUGUGUGUUUUGUCUUUUUAGGGCUGCACCAGCGGCAUAUGGAGGUUGCCAGGCUAGGGGUCUAAUCGGAGCUGUAGCUGCCGGCCUACGCCACAGCCAUAGCAACCCUAGAUCCGAGCCGCAGCUGAGACAUAUACCACAGCUCUCGGCAACGCCGGAUCCUCAACCCACUGAGCGAGGCCAGGGAUCAAACCUGCAACUUCAUGGUUUCCAGUCGGAUUCAUCUCCGCUGUGCCAUGACGGGAACGCCUCUUUUUUUUUUUUUUUUUUUUUUUCUAUUUCUUGGGCCGCUCCUGCGGCGUAUGGAGGUUCCCAGGCUAGAGGUCCAAUCGGAGCUGUAGCCACCGGCCUACGCCAGGGCCACAGCAACACAGGAUCCGAGCCGCGUCUGCAACCUACACCACAGCUCACGGCAACGCCGGAUCAUUAACCCACUGAGCAAGGGCAGGGACCGAACCCACAACCUCAUGGUUCCUAGUCGGAUUCGUUAACCACUGCGCCACGACGGGAACUCCUUUUUUUUUUUUUUUUUUUAAAUGAUGGAAAAUAGAAGAGCAUUUUCAAAUAAGCUAGUGAGACUAUCUGAUAGAGACUGUGGCAGAAGAGAGAUAAUACUACCAAAGGAGCAAAAUUCUUGAAGAGAGAAGGAAUUCAAGAAGAGGGCUUGCCUUUGGUGGAGCAAGAUGUCUUACAGUAUAGCAGGAGAGAAGGCAGGUUUCGGAAUUGGAGGUGGAGUACGGGACUUCCUGCUCUCAUGGCUUCUGUUUUCUCCGUGAAGUCUGACACAGGGCCAGCAGCUGGAAGGGAGAAGGAAUGUGGAUGGUUUGAGAAGGACACUUUGCCUUGGACAGCAGGACAGUGAGCUCACUGGGGCAUGAGGUAGGAUUGCUAGGUAUUAUUGACUGUCUGGAUGCAGCCUGGGGGGCGGGAUCUGAAUUUAAGGUGAAACCAAUCAACCCAGUUAGUGUGUGGCAUUUUCCCACCAACAUUCAUCUGAUACAAGGGAGACAGAGCAGCCAGGUGAUCAGUUCAGCCAAGAUUGGCAUUUUGCCCCCCAGCUGUGAUUGGAUGCCAGAGGGUGAUUAACAGUGAGGAACCUUGGAAUAUUGUCAGGGUAGGAAAGCAAGAGAAGAUAAUGGAGCUGGGGGUGAAGGUAACCAUGAAAAUCAUUUUUGGUUAAUAAGUGAGUUAAUGGGUAGAGAAUUUCAACCAAGGAUGAUGAAAAAGUGGAGCUGGAUAGUGACAGCAGUUGCACAAUAAUGUAAAUGUACCUAAAGUGAAUGAACUGUCCACUUACAUGGUAAAUCUUAUGUGUGUUUAAUUAAUUUAAAAAUGAAUUAACAUUUAAACAUUUGUGGCAGGUACAGAUGUUAUUUGCACAGGGUUUUGGACUAUUUGCAGAGUACUCUUUUCUGUGGAAGAAAGUAGCUUUAGAAACCAAAUCUCAAGUUAUUGAGACUAAAGAAGGAGGGUAUCCCCUCUUAUCGUGAGUAGGCGUAACAGUCACCUAUAGACACAAAUCCUGGAGUGGGACAAAGUAGUAUUUGUUUCCCUGUUCCUUGUUAUUCUAGGUCUUUAGCAUAGCAUUUAAGACAAGAUGGGCGCUCAGUAAACACUUGCUGACUAAAUACCUAAGACAACCCAGGAGUUCCCAUUGUGGCUCUGAGGGUUAAGACGCUGACAGUAUCCAUGAGGAUGUGGAUUUGAUCCUUGGCCUCACUGAGUAGGUUAAGGAUCCAGUGUUGCCGUGAGCUGUGGUGUAGGUUGCAGGUGCGGCUCAGAUCUGGCGUUGCUGUGGCUGUGGUGCAGGCCAGAGCUGCAGCUCUGAUUCAACCCCUAGCCUGGGAACUUCCAUAUGCCUGGGGUGCAGGCCCUAAAAAAAAAAAAAGGCAAGAGUAGAAUCAUAGGAACCAAGGAAAAAACUAGUUUUGAGAUGAGUAAAGAUCAGCAAUGCCUUAUAUGUUCUGAUCUCUGUGGGUAAGGGAAAAAUCAGAUUAAAGGGAGGGAGAGAACUAGAGGAAAUUAGUAUAUAUAUAUUUUUAAUUCAGAUAAUACCAAGUAGAAGUGUGUAGCACUCCCCUUUCUUUAUUCUUUCUUUGGGAACGCUGUCAUUCGUCUUUUUUUUUUUUGCUUUUUAGGGCUGCACCUAUGGCAUAUGGAGGUUCCCAGGCUAGGGGUCUAAUUGGAGCUGCAGCUGCCGGCCACAGCCACAGCCACAGCAGUGCAGUAUCUGAGCUGCAUCUGUGACCUACACGACAGCUUACAGCAACACCAGAUCCUUAACCCGCUGAACAAGGCCAGGGGUGGAACCUGCGUCCUCACGGUUCCUAGUCGGGUUCAUUUCUCCUGCACCAUGAUGGGAAAUCCUUUUGUGCAUCUUUUCAUAAGGUUCCUCUGUUCCCCACAUUGCCUACAGAAAGUAACCGUGAAGUAUAAUUAGAGGAGAGUAGGGUAGAUGAUCGGAUUCCAAAUGGAGGUCUGUGGUCUUUGCUGAGGAGAUAGCAAGGUCAUUUGUCAAGCGCAGAGGCAAAAGGUCUUGAGUUUGAGAGCAGUAGAUUUGUGGGAUGUACUGUAGAUGGAGGACGAUUGAAUAAAGGGAAUGGUACUUAGCUACACUGAGGCCAUGUGAAUUCAGUGACGUAGCAGUUCCAUCUGCAGGGCCUGGGGAUCACCAAUGUUGUACAGCAGAAGUGGAAAUACGGUGGGGGAGGGGGCUGGCAGAAAGGAGGGGGUGGCUAGAUGAAUGCGGACAAGUGGGAGAGCUGUGACCCAGGAGGAAUGAGGUGUGGCUUUAAAGGAAAGCUCUAAAUGGAGACCUCGUCAGUGUUCUCUGGCUGCGUGGAGGUGGGCCCAGGAGGUCACCCAGCUGGGAUGGCUUGCCCAGGUGUCGUGCAGUCAAGAGUGCCUGGGACUGUCACCAUUCGUUGUUCUGUGGGAAAGUAGAAGACAGAGGUCUUGGGGAGAAGAAGCUAGGGGCUUUGAGCUCUUUUCCCUUUACCUCGAAUGUGCUUCCCUUCAGGAAAAGAUCCUGAGGCCUCACUCUACCAGAUCUUAAACCUGAGUUUCCCUUCCCCUUAAUCCUAAUCACCUUUUUUUUUUGGCCUUUUCUUGGGCCGCUCCCACGGCAUAUGGAGGUUCCCAGGCAAGGGGUCGAAUCAGAGCUGUAGCCACUGGCCUACACCACAGCCACAGCAAUGCCAGAUCUGAGCCGCAUUUGCAAACUACGCCACAGCUCACAGCAACACCGGAUCUAAUCAACUUCAAUUUAUGUAGUUGUGAUUUAAUUACACAUUUCAUUUUAAUAAAGUUGUAAAAUUGAACAGUUUCUGUUUUUGUGGGUUCUUUGGCUUAUCUUGCAAACACAGUGAACACUCAUAACACCUGAAAUAAAAACCCUGAACAUGAGAAUGCGAAGGGAAUGAGGUAUGAAAGGUGUUACCUUUAUAGGAAAAGCUUAUCUCAGUUCAGCCAAAAUCCAGCAACUUCCUUGUAUCAUCAGAAAUUAAACAUGGUGUCCUGAUCUGUAAUUGAAGCAUUUUCACAAGAAAGAAGAUGGGGGAAAGGAGAAAUAAUAUUUGUUAAACCUUGACAUUAUUUCAGGCCCCAGUGGGUGUUUGGGUGUUUAUCAUUAUUAAAUUCUCGCAAUACUCAAUAGGUAGAUUUGUCUCCAUUUUAUGUAUAAUGAAACUGAGGUUUAGAAAUUAAGAAAAAAAUCUUGCCCAAGGUUACGUUACUAAGGGGCAGAACUAGGGUUUGAAUAUAUUCUGCAGAUCCAUGCAUCAUGUUUUGCCAUUACUAAUACCAUUCAAUCUGUAAAUGCCUACUAGUUAAAACAUUUUGAGGUCCUAAAAUUGGAUAAACUUUGUUUAAGUAGGAGUUAUAAGAAAAAGUAGUGUUGUAUUGAUAAAAGUGGUAACCAAAAAACCCAGAAUCUUAUGUUGAUACUCAGAUUUUAGGUCACAGCAGUUAUUCUGCUCCUUCUGCAGGUAAUUCAGUUUUUAUUUGCAUAGUAUGGUGACCCAAACAUGGGGCCCAUUUUAGCUCUGAACUUGGGGGCAAUCAGUGAUGAAUCAUAUCUUUUACUUACAAAAUCCUGACUGGAAAAGUGAAAACUUAGAACCUUAGUUAAACAUGAUGUGCUGCAGCUCAAGUUGAUCUCUUGCUUGGAAUGUUGUCAGUGUCAUAAGCAUACUAAUCAUAGUAUAGAUUUUUGGGAAAAAUACUAAUUUACAAAUUUGUGGUUCACAUUAAAGAGGCCAUUCUUUUUGAAAGAGGCCAUACUGUGGGUUGAAUAUAAGGCCAGUAAGAUAACAUGUCAAAGGGAUUUUUCCCUUCUUGACUUUCUGAGAAAGCUUAGCCCUGAGGCACAACAGUAAUAAAAGCUCAUGAAACACCUUGUGGAUUUUUUUAGUUCGCUGAGGCUGACCUACAGCUCUUGAGUGUUAAGUUGCUCUCUGAACAGUCUGAGGCAGUGCGUGAGUUCUUCAUGCCAGGCUGCCAGGACUAACUUGAAUUUUCCUCCUCCCCCGAUGAGAACCAGCCUUCUCACUACUUAUUAGUGGUAAGCCUAAAUUGGGGAGAUAAAGAAUUUCAAAAUCUUGUGGUAAAUGUAAUGUGGAAGAGACUUUCAAAAUUUGUUAUGUAGACUAAAUAUUUCAAACAUAACUAUUGAGACUUCUAUGUAUGAAAAUCAUCCAUCCUUAAAAGCUGCUUAUAGUGGAUUUCUGAUUUUUAUUGUAAGUUUUUUAAAAAGAUAAUCUAUUUAUCUGGUUUCUUGGUUAAGUUUUUCAGAAUUUGUAUUCAGCUCUCCUUAGAGAAUAUUUUACUGUGUUAGAGCCAUCCCUAACAGUGAAUUUUUAGUAAUAAUUUUUGAAGCUCUGAGCAUCUCCCC